rnacentral:rRNA from 1 species
CCUACGGGUGGCAGCAGUGAGGAAUAUUGGUCAAUGGGCGCGAGCCUGAACCAGCCAAGUAGCGUGAAGGAUGACUGCCCUACGGGUUGUAAACUUCUUUUAUAAAGGAAUAAAGUGAGGCACGUGUGCCUUUUUGUAUGUACUUUAUGAAUAAUGAUCGGCUAACUCCGUUCCAGCAGCCGCGGUACUACGGAGGAUACGAGCGUUAUCCGGAUUUAUUUGGUGUAAAGGGAGCGUAGAUGGGUUGGUAAGUCAGUUGUGAAAGUUUGCGGCUCAACCGUAAAAUUGCAAUUGAUACUGGCAGUCUUGAGUACAGUUGAGGGAGGCGGAAUUCGUGGUGUAGCGGUGAAAUGCUUAGAUAUCACGAAGAACUCCGAUUGCGAAGGCAGCUUACUAAACUGCCACUGACAUUGAUGCUCGAAAGUGUGGGUAGCAAACAGGAUUAGAUACCCUUGUAGUC